GGGUUGUGAGGUUAAGCGACUAAGCGUACACGGUGGAUGCCCUGGCAGUCAGAGGCGAUGAAGGACGUGCUAAUCUGCGAUAAGCGUCGGUAAGGUGAUAUGAACCGUUAUAACCGGCGAUUUCCGAAUGGGGAAACCCAGUGUGUUUCGACACACUAUCAUUAACUGAAUCCAUAGGUUAAUGAGGCGAACCGGGGGAACUGAAACAUCUAAGUACCCCGAGGAAAAGAAAUCAACCGAGAUUCCCCCAGUAGCGGCGAGCGAACGGGGAGCAGCCCAGAGCCUGAAUCAGUGUGUGUGUUAGUGGAAGCGUCUGGAAAGGCGCGCGAUACAGGGUGACAGCCCCGUACACAAAAAUGCACAUGCUGUGAGCUCGAUGAGUAGGGCGGGACACGUGGUAUCCUGUCUGAAUAUGGGGGGACCAUCCUCCAAGGCUAAAUACUCCUGACUGACCGAUAGUGAACCAGUACCGUGAGGGAAAGGCGAAAAGAACCCCGGCGAGGGGAGUGAAAAAGAACCUGAAACCGUGUACGUACAAGCAGUGGGAGCACGCUUAGGCGUGUGACUGCGUACCUUUUGUAUAAUGGGUCAGCGACUUAUAUUCUGUAGCAAGGUUAACCGAAUAGGGGAGCCGAAGGGAAACCGAGUCUUAACUGGGCGUUAAGUUGCAGGGUAUAGACCCGAAACCCGGUGAUCUAGCCAUGGGCAGGUUGAAGGUUGGGUAACACUAACUGGAGGACCGAACCGACUAAUGUUGAAAAAUUAGCGGAUGACUUGUGGCUGGGGGUGAAAGGCCAAUCAAACCGGGAGAUAGCUGGUUCUCCCCGAAAGCUAUUUAGGUAGCGCCUCGUGAAUUCAUCUCCGGGGGUAGAGCACUGUUUCGGCAAGGGGGUCAUCCCGACUUACCAACCCGAUGCAAACUGCGAAUACCGGAGAAUGUUAUCACGGGAGACACACGGCGGGUGCUAACGUCCGUCGUGAAGAGGGAAACAACCCAGACCGCCAGCUAAGGUCCCAAAGUCAUGGUUAAGUGGGAAACGAUGUGGGAAGGCCCAGACAGCCAGGAUGUUGGCUUAGAAGCAGCCAUCAUUUAAAGAAAGCGUAAUAGCUCACUGGUCGAGUCGGCCUGCGCGGAAGAUGUAACGGGGCUAAACCAUGCACCGAAGCUGCGGCAGCGACGCUUAUGCGUUGUUGGGUAGGGGAGCGUUCUGUAAGCCUGUGAAGGUGUGCUGUGAGGCAUGCUGGAGGUAUCAGAAGUGCGAAUGCUGACAUAAGUAACGAUAAAGCGGGUGAAAAGCCCGCUCGCCGGAAGACCAAGGGUUCCUGUCCAACGUUAAUCGGGGCAGGGUGAGUCGACCCCUAAGGCGAGGCCGAAAGGCGUAGUCGAUGGGAAACAGGUUAAUAUUCCUGUACUUGGUGUUACUGCGAAGGGGGGACGGAGAAGGCUAUGUUGGCCGGGCGACGGUUGUCCCGGUUUAAGCGUGUAGGCUGGUUUUCCAGGCAAAUCCGGAAAAUCAAGGCUGAGGCGUGAUGACGAGGCACUACGGUGCUGAAGCAACAAAUGCCCUGCUUCCAGGAAAAGCCUCUAAGCAUCAGGUAACAUCAAAUCGUACCCCAAACCGACACAGGUGGUCAGGUAGAGAAUACCAAGGCGCUUGAGAGAACUCGGGUGAAGGAACUAGGCAAAAUGGUGCCGUAACUUCGGGAGAAGGCACGCUGAUAUGUAGGUGAAGUCCCUUGCGGAUGGAGCUGAAAUCAGUCGAAGAUACCAGCUGGCUGCAACUGUUUAUUAAAAACACAGCACUGUGCAAACACGAAAGUGGACGUAUACGGUGUGACGCCUGCCCGGUGCCGGAAGGUUAAUUGAUGGGGUCAGCGCAAGCGAAGCUCUUGAUCGAAGCCCCGGUAAACGGCGGCCGUAACUAUAACGGUCCUAAGGUAGCGAAAUUCCUUGUCGGGUAAGUUCCGACCUGCACGAAUGGCGUAAUGAUGGCCAGGCUGUCUCCACCCGAGACUCAGUGAAAUUGAACUCGCUGUGAAGAUGCAGUGUACCCGCGGCAAGACGGAAAGACCCCGUGAACCUUUACUAUAGCUUGACACUGAACAUUGAGCCUUGAUGUGUAGGAUAGGUGGGAGGCUUGGAAGUGUGGACGCCAGUCUGCAUGGAGCCGACCUUGAAAUACCACCCUUUAAUGUUUGAUGUUCUAACGUUGACCCGUAAUCCGGGUUGCGGACAGUGUCUGGUGGGUAGUUUGACUGGGGCGGUCUCCUCCUAAAGAGUAACGGAGGAGCACGAAGGUUGGCUAAUCCUGGUCGGACAUCAGGAGGUUAGUGCAAUGGCAUAAGCCAGCUUGACUGCGAGCGUGACGGCGCGAGCAGGUGCGAAAGCAGGUCAUAGUGAUCCGGUGGUUCUGAAUGGAAGGGCCAUCGCUCAACGGAUAAAAGGUACUCCGGGGAUAACAGGCUGAUACCGCCCAAGAGUUCAUAUCGACGGCGGUGUUUGGCACCUCGAUGUCGGCUCAUCACAUCCUGGGGCUGAAGUAGGUCCCAAGGGUAUGGCUGUUCGCCAUUUAAAGUGGUACGCGAGCUGGGUUUAGAACGUCGUGAGACAGUUCGGUCCCUAUCUGCCGUGGGCGCUGGAGAACUGAGGGGGGCUGCUCCUAGUACGAGAGGACCGGAGUGGACGCAUCACUGGUGUUCGGGUUGUCAUGCCAAUGGCACUGCCCGGUAGCUAAAUGCGGAAGAGAUAAGUGCUGAAAGCAUCUAAGCACGAAACUUGCCCCGAGAUGAGUUCUCCCUGACCCUUUAAGGGUCCUGAAGGAACGUUGAAGACGACGACGUUGAUAGGCCGGGUGUGUAAGCGCAGCGAUGCGUUGAGCUAACCGGUACUAAUGAACCGUGAGGCUUAACCUUACAACGCCGAAGCUGUU
rnacentral:rRNA from 1 species